rnacentral:rRNA from 1 species
UUAGCCUACGGGGCGCAGCAGUAGGGAAUUUUCGUCAAUGGGCGCAAGCCUGAACGAGCAAUGCCGCGUGAACGAGGAAGGUCUUCGGAUCGUAAAGUUCUGUUGAAGGGGAAAAAGAGCGGAGAGAGGAAAUGGUCUCCGAUUGAUAUUACCCUUCGAGGAAGUCACGGCUAACUACGUGCCAGCAGCCGCGGGAAUACGUAGGUGGCGGGCGUUAUCCGGAAUGAUUGGGCGUAAAGGGUGCGUAGGCGGCCGGCUAGGUCUGGAGUGAAAGGUACCGGCUCAACCGGUACAGGCUCGGGACA